rnacentral:rRNA from 1 species
AUACGUAGGUGGCAAGCGUUGUCCGGAAUUAUUGGGCGUAAAGCGCGCGCAGGUGGUUCCUUAAGUCUGAUGUGAAAGCCCCCGGCUCAACCGGGGAGGGUCAUUGGAAACUGGGGAACUUGAGUGCAGAAGAGGAUAGUGGAAUUCCAAGUGUAGCGGUGAAAUGCGUAGAGAUUUGGAGGAACACCAGUGGCGAAGGCGACUUUCUGGUCUGUAACGGACCCUGAGGCGCGAAGGCGUGGGGAGCAAACGGGAUUAGAUACCCUGGUUGCCCACGCCGUAAACGAUGAGUGCUAAGUGUUGGGGGGUUUCCGCCCCUCAGUGCUGCAGCUAACGCAUUAAGCACUCCGCCUGGGGAGUACGGUCGCAAGACUGAAACUCAAAGGAAUUGACGGG